rnacentral:tRNA from 1 species
UCCCUGGUGGUCCCAUGGCUAAGAUAUUCCGCUUCCAAUGCAGGAGGCCCAGGUUCGAUCCCUGGUCAGGGAA